rnacentral:rRNA from 1 species
AGUGAACGCUGGCGGUAGGCCUAACACAUGCAAGUCGAACGGCAGCACAGUAAGAGCUUGCUCUUACGGGUGGCGAGUGGCGGACGGGUGAGGUAUACAUCGGAAUCUACUUUUUCGUGGGGGAUAACGUAGGGAACCUUACGCUAAUACCUCAUACGACCUACGGGUGAAAGCCGGUGAUCUUCGGACCUUGCGCGAUUGAAUGAGCCGAUGUCUGAUUAGCUAGUGGGCGGGGUAAAGGCCCACCAAGGCGACGAUCCGUAGCUGGUCUGAGAGGAUGAUCAGCAACACUGGAACUGAGACACGGUCCAGACUCCGACGGGAGGCAGCAGUGGGGAAUAUUGGACAAUGGGCGCAAGCCUGAGCCAGCCAUACCGCGUGGGUGAAGAAGGCCUUCGGGUUGUAAAGCCCUUUUGUUGGGAAAGAAAAGCAGCAGGUUAAUACCCCGCUGUUCUGGCGGUACCAAAAGAAUAAGCACCGGCUAACUUCGUG